rnacentral:rRNA from 1 species
GGUCAAGCUAGAAAGGGCGUACGGUGGAUGCCUGGGCGCCAGGAGGCCGAAGAAGGACGUGGCAAGCUGCGAAAAGCUACGGUGAGCCGCAAGC